UCUUGACUAGUAUAUCGGUUAGUACACGCGCUUGUCAUCUAACGUCAGGUGCUUGAUUACGCGCGAAAGCUGGGUUCGACUCCCAGGUCGAGAG